rnacentral:pre_miRNA from 1 species
UGCGAGUGUUAUCCGUUGAUUGUCCGAACGCAAUUCUUGUUGACUUUUCAUUCACAAUCAAGAACUGUGUACGGACAUCAGUGGUUGAUACCGCUUACACC